GACGGUAGGGCGCGAGCGUUGUCCGGAUUUAUUGGGCGUAAAGAGCUCGUAGGCGGCUUGUCACGUCGUUCGUGAAAACUUGGGGCUCAACCCCAAGCUUGCGGUCGAUACGGGCAGGCUAGAGUUCGGUGAGGGGAGACUGGAAUUCCUGGUGGUAGCGGUGAAAUGCGCAGAUAUCAGGAGGAACACCGGUGGCGAAGGCGGGUCUCUGGGCCGAUACUGACGCUGAGGAGCGAAAGCGUGGGGAGCGAACAGG
rnacentral:rRNA from 1 species